GACCUAUUUGGGGGGUUUAUUGAUAUUUUCCUUGUUAUAUGGCUUCAGAAAAUACCCACUCCAGGCUAGGAUAAGUUAUUUCAGAGUAGAAUUUGUGGCUGGUUGGAUAGGGAUAGGGAGAAGAAAUCAUUCUUCCAAAAGGAGUUAAUAUUCAUAUUCGUAUUCAAAAGUAAUACUGAACCCUAAAAAUAAUGUCUCAGGGUCUCGUAGUUGUGCUUUAUCUACCUUAAUAAACAAGUAACACUUGUUCUUAUUUUCAACCCAGUAUCUCUCAAUUAACAUCUGAGGACCAGCUAAUAGCAGCUAAUCAGCUGCUAGUGAGUACACAUCGCCUGUGGUAUUCAAGCCUUUGCGGAUAAAAUCAGCUACAAAACAACAACCUGAGCAAAACUGCUCCACCUUUUCAGGCUAUAAGUUACGCCACUUGCUUUGUCAGCUUUGGAGUCAAGCCAUUGACUGAGGCACAGGAUGUGACCGCACAGAGGAAAGGCCACAUGAGGACACAGAGAAGACGGCCGUCUGCAGGCCAAGAAGAGACCUGAGGGGAAACCAGAGCUGCCCACGCCUCGACCUCGGACGUCCAGCCUCCAAGAUGUUAAGCCCCCCGUUCCGUAUUAUUUUGUUGCGGUAGCUCUAAGAAAUGAAUACCCUGCUACAAGCUGAGUGAGUGUCCAUAACUUGGAGACGCCAUGGUUCUGCACCACCUCCUGUAAAAGCACCUCCUUCGAAAGCACUGAGAUGACUCCCUCAGAAUCGUCGUGUUCCAUCUCCCAUCCUCUUUUGAGACAUCUGUGUUCAAGGUUUGAGCCUCUGACUUGGUAUCAACUAAGGUGGAUGGAGAAGGGGCUGGUGAGUAUGGUGUUGGCAUUUCACCCUCUUUUAAUGAGACUAAGGCCUUAAUCCCAACCGCCUGGAAAAUGUCUCACACCGAUCCUGAGAGGAACAACGUGAGGUUCCACAGUUAACAAGUCCAAGAUGUUGGUGAGUGGGAGGAAGACCUUCCUGUACAAAGGGGAGCAGAGUUUAACACUGCAAUAUGGUACUGGAUCAUGGUUAGAGUCUGUUGCAAGGUGUGUGUGUAAGGGGGUGGCACUCAGCAUCCUGGCAACCCUGGACCAGUUGAGCACGGCAGCUGCAGUGUCCUCACGCUCUGGCCAGAUGAUGCUCCAACCCGUGGAGAUUUUAGGACAGGAAUGACAGCAUUGUUCACAUGACCUAUCUUCAAACCUAGACAAGUCAAAACAGUCUGCCACUGGGACGUGGGCAGCAUGGGGAACGCCAGCUCCAGAGUGGGAACCAAACAGCCUUGUAUUGGAAGAAGAUGCCAUCUAGGAUUUUCAAGAUGCCGUAGGACUUUCAAAUCCCAAUACUCUGCUACUCUGACACUUGCCAGCCCUGUCACCCUGGGUCAGAACUUACCCUGCCUGGAGUUCCCUUUCUCCCCUGUAAUAUAGGAGCAAGAGUACCAGGCACCUCACAGGACUCUUAUGAGGAUCAACUGACACUUCACGUGUGAAGUGUGUGAGGCUGGACCUGGACCACAGUGACCCUGAAUAAA